UCAAACAAAGUCAUACAAUAACAUGGCAUUGGUGUUCAGGCCACAACAUUUAGCAACAACCAAACACACACAUCAUAUGAAUUUCUGGACAGAAACAUGGAUUAUGCAACAGCAGUACUCAUCAUCAUCAGCAUGACCAAAUAUGCCCAAAAAUCAAUCAUAUACAUAUCAAUAGCAUUAACAUACAUCCAACAACAAACGUGCAUCAAC
rnacentral:lncRNA from 1 species